CGGGAGGGGAGUGAAAGAGAACCUGAAACCAUAUGCUUACAAGAAGUCAGAGCCCGUUAAAGGGUGAUGGCGUGCCUUUUGUAGAAUGAACCGGCGAGUUAUGAUAUGCAGCAAGGUUAAGCAGGAGAUGUGGAGCCGAAGCGAAAGCGAGUCUUAAAAGGGCGAGAGUUGUAUGUCAUAGACCCGAAACCGAGUGAUCUAGCCAUGACCAGGUUGAAGUUGGGGUAAAACCCGAUGGAGGACCGAACCGACCCCCGUUGAAACGUUGGCGGAUGAGUUGUGGCUAGGGGUGAAAUUCCAAACGAACUCGGAGAUAGCUGGUUCUCCCCGAAAUAGCUUUAGGGCUAGCGUCAGGAAAGAAGGUCGCAUGAAGGUAGAGCACUGAAUAUGUGAUGGCCCCAUCCCGGGGUACUGAAUAUAAUCAAACUGCGAAUGUCAUGAGGACAAACCUGGCAGUCAGACAGUGGGUGAUAAGGUCCAUUGUCAAGAGGGAAACAGCCCAGACCAUCAGCUAAGGUCCCAAAAUAUAUGCUAAGUGGAAAAGGAUGUGGAGAUGUAAAGACAACUAGGAGGUUGGCUCAGAAGCAGCCACCCUUUAAAGAGUGCGUAACAGCUCACUAGUCGAAUGACUCUGCGCCGAAAAUAUACCGGGGCUAAGCAUAAUACCGAAGCUAUGGAAUUACGAAGUAAUUGGUAGGGGAGCGUUCUAAGGUCGAAGAAGUAUGAUCGAAAGGACAUGUGGAGAGCUUAGAAGAGAGAAUGCCGGUGUGAGUAGCGGAACGUGGGUGAGAAUCCCACGCACCGAAAACCCAAGGUUUCCAGAGGAAGGUUCGUCCGCUCUGGGUAAGUCGGGACCUAAGGCGAGGCCAAAAGGCGUAGUCGAUGGACAACAGGUAGAAAUUCCUGUACUGUAUAUUGAGUGAAGGAGUGACGGAGAAGGCUAGAUGGAGCCAGCGGAUGGAAGAGCUGGUGCAAGCGAGAUAUCUAAUACGUAGGCAAAUCCGCGUAUUAAAAAGGAGAAGGCGUGAAGCGGAUGGAAAGUGAGAACGAGUACAGAAGCCAUUGAAGCAAGCUUCCAAGAAAAGCUUCUAGCAAAUUGAUAUACGAAAAUGGACACACAUGGGUGAGGAGAGAAUCCUAAGGUGAGCGAGAGAACUAUAGCUAAGGAACUCUGCAAAAUGACUCCGUAACUUAGGGAGAAGGAGUGCUUAUGAAAGUAAGCCGCAGUGAAACGGCCCAAGCGACUGUUUAUCAAAAACACAGCUCUCUGCGAAGUCGAAAGACGAAGUAUAGGGGGUGACGCCUGCCCGGUGCUGGAAGGUUAAGAGGAGUUGUAAGCAUAGGCGAAGCAAUGAAUUGAAGCCCCAGUAAACGGCGGCCGUAACUAUAACGGUCCUAAGGUAGCGAAAUUCCUUGUCAGGUAAGUUCUGACCCGCACGA
rnacentral:rRNA from 1 species